CAACAUAUAACUGAAACUGAAGUUCUUCCACGUCUCUAACAAUCAGAACAUCUUCAACCUUCAGAUUUCCUUUUCUUAUUCGAUUUUUUUUGCUCAGGAUGUUCUAAUGAUCUAGAAGAGACAUCAGCUCUAUGUUCUUUUCCUGAAUCUUGGACAGAAUGGUCAAUCGACCUACCUGGCUCAUCCACAUGUCUUCUCAAUGGACUCUUUGAUGCAUCCCCGGACCCAGAACUUCUGUUUCUUGGAGUACGUAUAGAGGAAGUAUAGCCACUCACAGCCCCUAAACUUCUUGUCCUUGUACUUUGC
rnacentral:lncRNA from 1 species